GAUGAACGCUGGCGGCGUGCCUAAUACAUGCAAGUCGAGCGAACAGACGAGGAGCUUGCUCCUCUGACGUUAGCGGCGGGCGGGUGAGUAACACGUGGAUAACCUACCUAUAAGACUGGGAUAACUUCGGGAAACCGGAGCUAAUACCGGAUAAUAUAUUGAACCGCAUGGUUCAAUAGUGAAAGACGGUUUUGCUGUCACUUAUAGAUGGAUCCGCGCCGCAUUAGCUAGUUGGUAAGGUAACGGCUUACCAAGGCAACGAUGCGUAGCCGACCUGAGAGGGUGAUCGGCCACACUGGAACUGAGACACGGUCCAGACUCCUACGGGAGGCAGCAGUAGGGAAUCUUCCGCAAUGGGCGAAAGCCUGACGGAGCAACGCCGCGUGAGUGAUGAAGGUCUUCGGAUCGUAAAACUCUGUUAUUAGGGAAGAACAAAUGUGUAAGUAACUAUGCACGUUUUGACGGUACCUAAUCAGAAAGCCACGGCUAACUACGUG
rnacentral:rRNA from 1 species